CAGUCCAUAACAAAUAAAGAGAACCCUAGCCGGAGUAAGUAUAUGAAAAGGCAAAUGGCCCCCAAAAUAAGAAAGAGGGGGGCAAGCCAUCUGAAGAGAAUGGCAGGAAGUGAGGAGCUUGAAGCGGCUAAAAUGGAGAGUGGGAACACAUGUGGAAAAGAAAACACUGACCCAAGGAAUGAUGGGAAUUACAUAUAUAGUUUUCAAUCUGAAAGUAUAAAUCCCCCUCUCUACUUUUGCUGCUCGCUCUGAUGCUAUUCAGACCUUCAGUGGCUUUCUCCCAUCGGCCUUAUGAUGAUUCUACAAUCUGAAGAUUUAAGAGGGAUUGAUGCAGGUCAAGCUAUAGGGGGUAUUACUAGACAACCUAUUUUUUCCCGGUAUAUACCACGUGAAGCCACAAAUGCAUCCUUAAAAGGCUCAGAAACUGAACAUCCAGUAUUAUAUCAAUGUCCGCAAGUCGAUAAGUCAUCUUAUGGAGGUUGAUCUACGACUACCAUCUCACUCACAACACACAUGCUAUAUGUGAUGCACUAUCAAAUGCAUUCCAAUCUCAUAAGAAUCUUUGGACCUUUAUCGAUUUUACUACAGACUACCAAUCUCUGAGAAAGCAACUGAUUGUGUACAACAAGGCUCCAAAUUCCAAUUGAGGAAAGGUCAGGCCAGAGUAAAUUGAUGAGCAAUAACAAACGCUCCCAAGAUAGUGUAAAGAGAUAAAUAUAAGAGACUUUUAUGUGUUUUUUCGGUUAACAAAACAGAUUUGUUUGUAAUAUUUUCAAACAUUAAAUAUGAAUCCAACUUUAUACUGAAAUAAUGAUAUCUCUUGUCCUCUUAUACUAGUAUCACAAAUCACAAUCAUCAACAAAUUUUAAGUGUUAAUCACUUUGAUUCUCUUUCAUUCUUUUUCUCCAACCUCAUUAUGCAAAACUUAUUUUCUUCUAAAUAUUUUCUUUAAUCUACUGUUAUCUUUUAAACAUUUUACUUCUUAUAUUGUUUAUAUUACAACUUAAUUACCUAGAUUAAUGCAUGUGACACUAGAAUUAUUUAGGUGUGCUCCUUUUUGUAAGGUAAUGGGUUUCAGUUACUAUUGUUGGGUUUAAUUGAUAGGUUGAAUGAGAAAUGGAGAGAAAAGAAGUGGAGGGAAAAUGAGUUGUUUCCUCUUGCUUUAUGAAAUAAACAUGUGUCUCUCAUAGGUGGUAGAAAGAAAAGUUCUCCUACUUAAAAGUAGAAGCACUCCUUGUUGCUAAAGGGUUAAGAAGAGGGUCUCCCCUUGUGCCGUUGUCGUCGUCGCUCGGCUUCGGCUUCGGCUUCGGUCAAAUGAUUUGAUUGAUAAUCUUAAGUGGUUCGCCUGACAUCGCGUGAAGAAUGGAAACAGAAAAUGAUGUUAAUGCUCCUAAUGGAACUGCGAUUGUUGGUGCGACUGUUGGUACUACUGUUGGUGCGACUGUUGGGGCGACAAAUGUUGCGUCGUCAAGCCGUCCAAAUGCGCACACGCGAUGGCACCGAAGGAAACCGGGGGGAAGUUUUCUGGUAUCAACUUCAA